rnacentral:rRNA from 1 species
UUCCCGGCCUUGUACACACCGCCCGUCACACCACGAAAGUUGGCAAUACCCGAAGCCGGUGUCCUAACCCGCAAGGGAGGGAGCCGUCGAAGGUAGGGUCAGUGAUUGGGGUG